rnacentral:rRNA from 1 species
CCUACGGGCGGCAGCAGUGAGGAAUAUUGGUCAAUGGGCGCGAGCCUGAACCAGCCAAGUAGCGUGAAGGAUGACUGCCCUACGGGUUGUAAACUUCUUUUCUCAGGGACGAAGCAAGUGACGGUACCUGAGGAAUAAGCCACGGCUAACUACGUGCCAGCAGCCGCGGUAAUACGGAGGAUCCGAGCGUUAUCCGGAUUUAUUGGGUUUAAAGGGUGCGUAGGCGGUCAGGUAAGUUAGAGGUGAAAGCUCGAUGCUCAACAUCGAAACUGCCUCUGAUACUGUCUGACUAGAGUGUAGUUGCGGAAGGCGGAAUGUGUGGUGUAGCGGUGAAAUGCUUAGAUAUCACACAGAACACCGAUUGCGAAGGCAGCUUUCCAAGCUAUUACUGACGCUGAGGCACGAAAGCGUGGGGAGCGAACAGGAUUAGAUACCCUAGUAGUC